GGCGGCGUGCUUAACACAUGCAAGUCGAACGAUGAAGCCCUUCGGGGUGGAUUAGUGGCGAACGGGUGAGUAACACGUGGGCAAUCUGCCCUUCACUCUGGGACAAGCCCUGGAAACGGGGUCUAAUACCGGAUAUGAUCACCGGCCGCAUGGUCUGGUGAUGGAAAGCUCCGGCGGUGAAGGAUGAGCCCGCGGCCUAUCAGCUUGUUGGUGGGGUGAUGGCCUACCAAGGCGACGACGGGUAGCCGGCCUGAGAGGGCGACCGGCCACACUGGGACUGAGACACGGCCCAGACUCCUACGGGAGGCAGCAGUGGGGAAUAUUGCACAAUGGGCGAAAGCCUGAUGCAGCGACGCCGCGUGAGGGAUGACGGCCUUCGGGUUGUAAACCUCUUUCAGCAGGGAAGAAGCGCAAGUGACGGUACCUGCAGAAGAAGCGCCGGCUAACUACGUGCCAGCAGCCGCGGUAAUACGUAGGGCGCAAGCGUUGUCCGGAAUUAUUGGGCGUAAAGAGCUCGUAGGCGGCUUGUCGCGUCGGAUGUGAAAGCCCGGGGCUUAACCCCGGGUCUGCAUUCGAUACGGGCAGGCUAGAGUUCGGUAGGGGAGAUCGGAAUUCCUGGUGUAGCGGUGAAAUGCGCAGAUAUCAGGAGGAACACCGGUGGCGAAGGCGGAUCUCUGGGCCGAUACUGACGCUGAGGAGCGAAAGCGUGGGGAGCGAACAGGAUUAGAUACCCU
rnacentral:rRNA from 1 species